rnacentral:rRNA from 1 species
CCGGGUGAGUAACACGUGACUAACCUACCCUCUAGUGGGGAACAACCUCGGGAAACCGGGGCUAAUACCGCAUAACAUCCGCGGGUGAAAUUCCUGCGGACCAAAGGAGCAAUUCGCUGGAGGAGGGGGUCGCGGCUGAUUAGCUAGUUGGCGGGGUAACGGCCCACCAAGGCGAUGAUCAGUAGCCGGCCUGAGAGGGCGCACGGCCACACUGGAACUGAAACACGGUCCAGACUCCUACGGGAGGCAGCAGUGGGGAAUUUUGCGCAAUGGGGGAAACCCUGACGCAGCAACGCCGCGUGGAGGAUGAAGUCCCUUGGGACGUAAACUCCUUUCGACCGGGACGAAUAAUGACGGUACCGGUGGAAGAAGCCCCGGCUAACUUCGUG